CGCACUCGGAGGCACUCCCCAGGCUUGAGGUUCAGGUUGCUGGCGACCAGACCCUGCGCAAACGAGACCCGUCCGCCCACCUGGGUUAGGAGGACGAGACCUUGGCCUGUCCCGGGGUGGCGGCGAGUGGGAGUUAGAUGUGCCACUGAGGAUCAGGAAAGAGAAGGCACUUGUCCCAUGCUACAUAGCAUGGACUGGAACCCAGCUCGGGCGCUGUCUCCUCUCCCCUGGCCAUCUGCUCCCGCCCUGUCCCCUGAGCUUUGGGGUGGGGUCUCUACACUUACACAAGCCAUGACUGAGGCCAAGAAGAUGUUCCAGGGACUGCUGCACCAGCUGUCUGAGGACUCCACCCUAGAGAUGGGGCCGGCCGCUCCCACCCUUUUAACUGGACCAUACUCCGGCUGGCCCUCGGCCGCUGCUGACUCAUGAGCCCCGAUCGAGCAGACAUGGGGAGCCCAGCACUGCCCCUCCCAGCAGCAGCCUCCCACCCUGCCAGGAUGGACAGCGCCUCCGCAGCUGGUGCCUGCGAAGACUGUGGGCCCAAGGAGGUGCCAGCCACACCCCUAGAUGUCAGAGCAAGAGAGGCACUGCAUAUAACCCUGGCUGCCCUGCUCCCCCAUUCAGUGAUGGAAAACAACACCAGGGGGUUACUGGACCAAGGGCGGACGGGAGUUGGGGCCAAAGCCUUUCAGCUGCGAACUAAGCAAAGCUCGCCGGGGCAGCGCUGUCUUCAGCCUCCGUUCCUGAAGCGUGUAAAGAUCCUGCGCAGCACGCUCCCGAACUUCAGAUCCUUUUCUGACGGCUCUGCACUGCAGCUCCCCCUUAUCCUGCUACCCUGUCCCCCAGUCUCUGUGGUUCCUCCUGCGCAUGCGCAGCCGGCCAGCCCCAGCGCGCGGUGGGCUUCCUGCCCUUGGCUGCAGGCUGGUCCUGUUGCUGGGUCGCCCUCUGCUGAGUCCCCAGCCCUCUCCUGGGGAGCAGCCCCUCCUUUCUGGUAAGCUCUGGGUGGGACCAGACCUCUUUAGCCCUCAGCUCUCCAGGGCUCAAGCUGAGCCUUUUACAUUUUAAAAAAUACUUUAUUUCGAAAUUAUAGACUCACGGGAAGCUAAGAGCUUUUGAAGAGCUCAGAAAAUAUUGGAGACUUAAAAAAUCUUGAGUUGGUUCUGAAAGGCUUUUGCCCUAAAGGGGACGCUGCAGCGGUGGGAGGCUGGGAGGCCGAAGGUCACCUUCCCCGCCUCUAAGCAAUUUACCUCUGGCAGGAAAUGAAUUCCAAAGAGCUACAAGUGCAUCCGUAGUGCCCCUUAGGCUCCACCCCAAACCUAAGCUCUAUGGAUGCCCCCACACCACGUGUCGGGCAGAGAGAAAGCCAGACCUCAGUGGUGGCGGUGGUGCGGUUCUCCGUCUGCAUUCUUAAAAUAAAGACCACUUUACCUUAUAUUCUGUCUUCUAAUGCAGCAAAGCCGAAAUUAGUAAAUGUUUACUGUGCUUAAGGAUAGUCGUAAAAAUUUCAUUACAUUUGAAAACUUUGUGUUUGUUUGGUUUUGUUUUGAGACAGGGUUGCACUGUGUGGUCUGGGGUGGCCUCAAACAUGACCCUUUUGCCUCAGCUCCCAGGCUGAGACUCUGGGCAUGUGCCACUGCAGCCAGCUCGAGUUUUUCUUACUUUGUUUCCUACAAAUGGCCAAUAAAAAUAUGAAAAAUUGUUCAUCAUCUUUGGCCAUUAGAGAAAUGCAAAUUAAAACAAUACUGAGAUUCUAUCUUACUCCAAAAAGAAUCACCAUCAUCGGGCUGGGGAUUUAGCUCAGCGGCAUAAGCGCCUGCCUUGCAAGCAGGCAGUCGUGAGCUCGAUCCCUGGUACCGAUUUCGGAGUAUUUUUCCAAAACAGUUAAAGAUUCAUAUUACAGGGAUAUGCCCAUGUUUAUAGCAACUGAAUUUAUAACAGCUAAUUCUUGGAAACAGCCUAUCAACAGGUGAGUGGAUAAAAAAGACCCGUUGGUAUUUAUACAAAUGGAGCACUACUCUGCUCUAAGGGAUAAAUUUGAGUAACUUGCAGGAAAAUGAAUAUACCUUGAGACCAUAAUAUUAAGUGAAAUAAAUAAUACAAGCAUAAAUAUUACAUGGCUGUCUUAUCUGAGAAGCUCAAAGCCUAAGUGACUUUGUUUUUUUUUGGUACCAGGCAUCAAACUCAUAACCUUAUGGUUGCCAAGCAGAUGCUUACACUGCUGAGCUGCAUUUCCAGCAAGUGUAAGUAACUUAAAGAGCAAAAUACAAGGCUGGGGAUAUAGCUCAGCAGCACAAGCACUUGCCUGGCAAGGAUGAGGUUGUGAGUUCGAUUGUUAACCACCACCACCCCCCAAAAAAGAAAAAAAAGUAAAGUACAAGAUAGAUAAUAGGAAAUAGAACGAUCCUCCCACUUCAGCCUCCCGCAAACAAUGUAUCUUUUGCAGAUGGUAAGAGGAACUGUUAAGAGCAAAGUUAUGGAUUAACAGAUUUAUAAUCACUGUAUAGAUGUUCUAUAGCACAGGCUAAAAAUCAGUUGCUAUCUUCUGAUUAUACUCCUGCUUCUUGUCACAUAGUUGUCCUUGAAUCUGUGUCCAGCUGCUUUUCCAGACAGGGAGCUGGGGCAAUGUAACUCUGUCCAGCAACCAUUUCUGUGUUUUUAUACUUAAUGUUUUCUAGCUUGCCUCAAGGACUUUGGACCCGAGACAGAAUGCCCAGUUAAGGACGCUUUCAGCUUCAAUUUGUGCUGCACAAAGCCCCUCCUCCCCUCCUUCCCAGAAUGUUCCUGCAUUGUGAUAAUUUCUUUGGGGCUGGGGAUUUAGCUCAGCGGCAUGAAAGCCUGCCUGGCAACUCGAGGUCACGAGUUCGAUCCCCCGUACCAAAAAAAUUCCUGUAACUGCAGGAGUUUUCUAAACACUGCGUUGUCAGUCAAGCCAGAAAAGAUGGCGGAGGCAGGCACGGGGCUCAGAAGCCAGGCCUGCGCUUGCGGCCGGUGUACUGGGCAUCAGGCUGGACUUUCCUGCUCUGCUGCACGGCCGGUACAGCUUCUCCAGCAUCCACUCGCGGCUCUUCCUCUGCACAUCCCGUCACCUGAGCCCGUGCAAGACCCUCACAGCCUGUGUGCAUGCAUGUUCCUGGGGGCAGACCAGGCCAGGAGUAGGGCCCCAGGAGGCAGGGGCUACAGGGAGGCCCCGUCCGGCUUAGGGCUCACGUGUCUGCUGCAGCCAGUUCCCUGCCACCACACGUGGCGGAGGCAGGCAGACAAGGGUGCCCACUAGUGCCGGUGCUGUCCAUGCUCCCCUGGGGCUGAUUUGGCCUCUAACCUUGGCUGAGAAGCAAUGGGCUCCCCUGCAGCCAGAGGGACAGAGGCCUGUAAGUAUCAAUUUAAAACAUUAUAGGCCUGGGGAUUUAGCGUAGCAGCAUUAAGUGCCUGCCUGGCAAGCUCAAGAUCAUGUGUUUAAUGCAGGAAGGGUGCAGUUUGGUGUUUUUUGGUACCAGGAUCGAAUUUACAACUUUGCGCUUGCCAGGCAGACACUUGUGUCCCUGAGCUGUAUUCCCCAGCCCAGCGGCUUGGUGUUUCUGUUGCUGUUUGCAGCACCAGGACUGAACCCAGGGCUCUGUGCACAGCAGGCCCUGCCUGGGCUCCAGCCCGGCCUUCUCCCUUUGAAGUGUUUUCCAUGCUGUGCCCAAUGCAUGCAUUUUAAGACAGUUUGUCUUAAAAACUCCACAGAAACUGCUUUAAAAUGCAGGAAAACUAAUAAGGGUUCCUAGCGCAUGCUGGGAUCUCCGCUACUCCGGAGGCCGAGGCAGGAGGACUGCGAGUUCAAAGCCAGCCUGGUUAAGUUAGUACAGCAGUGCCUCGGUUCACAAACUACUAUUCCAGUCACAAAAUGAAUGAGAACCGAAUUAAAUUUCCCCAUAAGGUCAACACUGAACCUAACCACUCAAUCUGAUUUGGUAGCUCGGGGUAGGGCGCUUGCCUAGCAUGUGUGAGGCCCUAGGUCCACCCCAGCACAACCGAAAAACAAAAAAUCAAAAAGAAAGGAAAGCUUUCACCUAAGAAGUCUGGAGCUAUGGGGUUUCCAUGGCAGGGCAAUUCAGUGGUCAUGAAAGUGUGGAUCAUAAAGAUCCUGGUUCUUGGGAACCACGGUUUGUGGCUGUGCAGUCACAAGCUGAGGAUCUGGGGGUGAACUAUGUGAGCCUGUUACAGGCUUCCACAUGGCCCAUGUUUAUAUCAGAAGCUGAUGACCUUACUGCAAAUACUAACUGCUGAGACGUGGGAAAGGAGACCCACAUGUUCACUGUAUUCUUUUUCUGUUUGCUGAGGAGUCUUACUCUGUAGUCCAGGCUGGCCUUGAGCUCAGGGCAACCCUUCUGCCUCAGCCUCUGGAGUGCUGGGAUUACAGGUGUGUGCACUGUGCCUGGCUCACUGUAUCAUUUUUUCCUGGGUCAGGGGAUUGAGACAGGGUCCUGCUGUGUAAGGCAGCCUGGCCUCUGUCCUGUGACUGCCUGGCCUUAGUAUAUCCUGAAUCCAUUCAUCUUAUUCACUGAAUCUGGCACGGUGUGACUUCUGGUUCUUCUCCGAAGUCAGAAUGACCAAGAAAAGUAAAGGUUUUAAAUCAAGACAUCAAGGGAGCUACCAGUAUGCAACUAAACACACUCAUGAGAGAGGACUCCGGACCUGGGCAGGUACCAGGAGUGUUGGUACAGGAGUGAAGUGAGGGGCGGAUGCCGAGGGACGUGACUGCAGUGUGCUUUAUGCUAAUAAAAAAAUCUUAAACAUUUGCUGUACUCCUUUGUUCCGACCUCAUACAGCAGGACGAGUGACUGAACCUGCUGGAGUUUCCCAAGGACUAAGCAAAUCGGCAGGGGAGGGUUGCCAAUGGACAGACGCGGCACUGAAGCACGGUAGGCUGGAUCACAUCCCCUGAGGACGUCUCGGGUGGCUGCGAGUCCCCUCCCGGCCAGACGCGGAGACACAAUGCACGCCACUCGCACUUUACUCAGCACGGAGGACUGCUUACAGCGGGUGGAGGUGGCGAGGAGGCCCAGCCCCAAGCCCCACGUCCCUGGCACACAAGAACAAAUAAACAAAAGAAUAAAUAAA